GGGAUUUCUCACCCCUUCCAUUAACAAAUUUCAGGCACUGAUGCUUAGGUCGUGGAUACAAGGAUCGACAUGGGGUGCUAGCUCGUGUGGAAAGAAAGUAAAACAUUUUAAGAUGCUUAGGUCGUGGAUACAAGGAUCGACAUGGGGUGAUAGCUCGUGUGGAAAGAAAGUAAAACAUUUUAACGAGUAAUUUAAAUUUCAAGAAGAAAUUUUUUAGAUGUGAAUCAUAUGAUGUUUUAAUUAGAUAAAAAUAUGAUCCACUUAAUGGCAUUAAGUGGUCAUAUCUAAUCCCCUUAUCACCUCAAUCAGUGAACACUUAAAAAGUAAUACUACGAG
rnacentral:lncRNA from 1 species